UUCUGAACCGUAUACUGCUCAGCCCUACAAAUUACUUCACUUCUACUUUUAUAGGGAUCUGACUGAAAAUACUCAAAACUAAAGGGCAUAUAUUGGAAAAUGUUAAUAGUACAAGGGCCAAUGGAGCACUCCUGUUAGUUUCACUUUCGGAAUUCUUUUCCUGCAAGCCAAUCGCCGUAUCCAUUCGCUUCGCCGCCGGUAACCGAUCUCAGCCGUUCACCAGAAAGUUUCUCUCCGUCGUUGCAACCGUACCCUAUCGAGUAUCUGUCAAUUAGCAUCCGAUUGAUAGUUUCAAUCAAUCUGUUUCUGUUCAACGGAGUUAUUUGCAGACCUAAUUGACGGAUCAAAUGGCGUUAACGAACUUGAUACUGACGGUUGCAGGAGUCAGUGCAGUGAUUCUGUUGAUGAGGAGUGAUGUGAAACAGUCUGCUUCUAUUUUCAAACGGAACGUUCGUCAAAUUCGCCACUGGCUUGAGGAAGAAUCUAACACUGUUGUUAAGGAAAUUGAGAAGGCAAAACCCAAGGAACUACCUAAGAAAGAUAUCCCAAAGGAUAAUUGAAGAUGGAGUGAAGUUACAUGAUGUUAUGGUCUUCAAAGAAUCUGAUCCGUAUCAACUCCGUGUUUGUUUCAUAGAUCAUAUAUACGCUGCUAGUAAUAAAGAAAGUAGAAUGAUAUUCUUGCAUUAUGCAAAUUUUCUUUCACCAGUUUUGUCAAGUGAAGCACUUUGAUACCAAUCUCAUUUCUUGAAGGUUAUGAUUUUCUCAUAUUAUUAAUAUAUUAUUUAGAAAUUGUACA